rnacentral:lncRNA from 1 species
UGUGGUCUUCUGAACCUGUUCUCCUGCUUGUAGGGGAUCUGGGACAUUGAUGACACAAACUUUGCAUCAGGUGCAGCAUUCCAAUUCCAGUGCCAAAGGACUGCAAGCCUGAAACUCCAGUCCUCCUGCCCAGCGCCACGAGCAGCCCACAGGACCCUGUAAGUAGAAGCGAGUGGUUGAGUAGAGUGGGUUUGGAGGUGACUUUUGCAUCUUUUCAGUCUCCUUGGUCUGAGUCAUCAAGCACGGGGAAUUCUUCCCCGUGAAACCUGAAGCAGAUCUUGCUGGGAGAAGUAACCGGUUUUGGGGGGAACAAAAUUUCCCAAGCAUCUGCACCACCUCUAUCAGGAAACAGCUAGGGCCAUGUCCUGGGCCUCUAGUUCAGGGCAGGAAGGCUGCAC